rnacentral:snoRNA from 1 species
CCUGGAUGAUGAUAAGCAAAUACUGACUGAACGUGAAUUUGUCU